GGCAGUGUGAAAGCCAGGGGGCAGGCAGGCACCGGUGUCAGCCAUUGCGACCUGGUAAUUUCAAGGACGGACCAAGGUUCUGAAGGAAGUAGGACAGACUGUUUCAAUGGUAUGUGGAGGUGUAAUUGUUGAUGGUACGUGGAAGCAUAAUUGAGGGUAUGAACAGUGGAAAUGUGGAAAACAAAGCAGAAAAAGGGUAAAGGAAAAACUGAGUUAGAGAUCUUAAAGUCGGUGAUCUGCUCUAGCCAAAGUAGAUUGGCACCAGCACGAGAAUGCAUCCCCCACACUGCCCCCCCACACAGCUUGUAAGCAGAACUCUGGGAGGAAGAGCUGGGGGCCAGAGGCUAACGCAUCCCCUGCACUACCCCUGUCAAAGGCAAAGUGUUACUUGUGAACGGGAAAGGACGGAACACUGGAAGUGAGAAUAAGCCUUUAUUUGCAGAGAUCUAGGAAACCCAAGAUCUCACUGUCAGCCCUGGAAAUCUUGGAGGGGGGAGGCGGAACUAUGUUAAGUAGGUUUUUUUGUUUGUUUGUUUUUGUUUUUUUGUGAAGUUUGGGAGAUGAAAAGGUUUGGGAAAGACACAGGUUAUGGAGGGCAAGUAAGAUCAAGGUUUAUCUGUGGCAAUUAAACACAGACUCCGUUGUUACUGCAGAACAAAAACUUUUAUUGUGUGCCAUGCACUUGAA